CCUACGGGAGGCAGCAGUGGGGAAUUUUGGACAAUGGGCGCAAGCCUGAUCCAGCCAUGCCGCGUGUGGGAAGAAGGCCUUCGGGUUGUAAACCACUUUUGUCAGGGAAGAAACGGUCUGAACUAAUACUUUGGACUAAUGACGGUACCUGAAGAAUAAGCACCGGCUAACUACGUGCCAGCAGCCGCGGUAAUACGUAGGGUGCAAGCGUUAAUCGGAAUUACUGGGCGUAAAGCGUGCGCAGGCGGCUUUGCAAGACAGAUGUGAAAUCCCCGGGCUCAACCUGGGAACUGCAUUUGUGACUGCAUGGCUAGAGUACGGUAGAGGGGGAUGGAAUUCCGCGUGUAGCAGUGAAAUGCGUAGAUAUGCGGAGGAACACCGAUGGCGAAGGCAAUCCCCUGGACCUGUACUGACGCUCAUGCACGAAAGCGUGGGGAGCAAACAGGAUUAGAUACCCUGGUAGUCCACGCCCUAAACGAUGUCAACUGGUUGUUGGGAGGGUUUCUUCUCAGUAACGAAGCUAACGCGUGAAGUUGACCGCCUGGGGAGUACGGCCGCAGGUUGAACUCAAAUGAAUUGACGG
rnacentral:rRNA from 1 species